rnacentral:rRNA from 1 species
UUGAGAGUUUGAUCCUGGCUCAGAACGAACGCUGGCGGCAUGCCUAACACAUGCAAGUCGAACGAGAAGCUUCUUCGGAAGUGGACAGUGGCAGACGGGUGAGUAACGCGUGGGGAUCUGCCCAGAGGUUCGGAACAACCAUUGGAAACGAUGGCUAAUACCGGAUAAGCCCGCAAGGGGAAAGAUUUAUCGCCUUUGGAUGAACCCGCGUAAGAUUAGCUAGUUGGUGAGGUAAUGGCUCACCAAGGCGACGAUCUUUAGCUGGUCUGAGAGGAUGAUCAGCCACAUUGGGACUGAGACACGGCCCAGACUCCUACGGGAGGCAGCAGUGGGGAAUAUUGGACAAUGGGGGCAACCCUGAUCCAGCAAUGCCGCGUGUGUGAUGAAGGCCUUAGGGUUGUAAAGCUCUUUUACCAGGGAUGAUAAUGACAGUACCUGGAGAAUAAGCUCCGGCUAACUCCGUGCCAGCAGCCGCGGUAAUACGGAGGGGGCAAGCGUUAUUCAGUUUAAUUUGGUGUAAAGGGUUCGUAGGUUGUAUUUAGGUUGUUUAAAUUAAAAUCAAGAGACUUAACCUCUUUAAUAUUUUUAAAAACACUUUUACUAGAGUAUAAAAAAAGAUUAUAGAAUUUUAAGGGUAGAGAUAAAAUUCUAAGAUCCUUAAAGGAACACCAAAAGCGAAAGCAAUAGUCUUGUUUAUUACUGACACUGAGGAACGAAAGGAUAGGGAGCAAACAGGAUUAGUGACCCUGGUAGUCUAUCCCGUAAACUAUGAGUGCUGAUAUUUAGAAUUUAAAAUUUUGGGUAUUAAGUUAACACGUUAAGCACUCCACCUGAGGAGUAUAGUCGCAAGGCUGGAACUCAAAGGAAUUGACGGGGGCCUAUACAAGUGGUGGAGCAUGUGGUUUAAUGCGAUAAUACGCGCGAAAUCUUACCAGUCUUUGAUUUUAAAAAAUAUUCAACAAGUAGUUUUUGUUAUAAUGUUUUUUUUACAGGUGUUGCAUGGCUGUCGUCAGCUCGUGUUGUGAAAUGUU